ensembl:misc_RNA Metazoa_SRP Metazoan signal recognition particle RNA
GCUGGGUGCAGUGGCUCAUAUCUGUAGUCCAAGCUACUUGGGAGGCUGAGGCAGGAGGAUAACUUGAGCCUGGGUGAUCUAGGCUGCAGUGAGCUAUGAUGGUGCCACUGUACUCUAGCCUGGGUGACAGAGUGAGACCCUGUCUCAA